UCUACUGUAGCUCAGUGGUAGAGCGUCCAAACGCUGUGCGGAAGGUCAUAGGUACUGGUUCGACUCCUGUUGGGAGAA